rnacentral:rRNA from 1 species
GAUGAACGCUGGCGGCGUGCCUAAUACAUGCAAGUCGAGCGAACAGACGAGGAGCUUGCUCCUCUGACGUUAGCGGCGGACGGGUGAGUAACACGUGGAUAACCUACCUAUAAGACUGGGAUAACUUCGGGAAACCGGAGCUAAUACCGGAUAAUAUAUUGAACCGCAUGGUUCAAUAGUGAAAGACGGUUUUGCUGUCACUUAUAGAUGGAUCCGCGCCGCAUUAGCUAGUUGGUAAGGUAACGGCUUACCAAGGCAACGAUGCGUAGCCGACCUGAGAGGGUGAUCGGCCACACGGGAACUGAGACACGGUCCAGACUCCUACGGGAGGCAGCAGUAGGGAAUCUUCCGCAAUGGGCGAAAGCCUGACGGAGCAACGCCGCGGGAGUGAUGAAGGUCUUCGGAUCGUAAAACUCUGUUAUUAGGGAAGAACAAAUGUGUAAGUAACUAUGCACGUCUUGACGGUACCUAAGCAGAAAGCCACGGCUAACUACGU